rnacentral:rRNA from 1 species
GUACACAAAAAUGCACAUAUUGUGAGCUCGAUGAGUAGGGCGGGACACGUGGUAUCCUGUCUGAAUAUGGGGGGACCAUCCUCCAAGGCUAAAUACUCCUGACUGACCGAUAGUGAACCAGUACCGUGAGGGAAAGGCGAAAAGAACCCCGGCGAGGGGAGUGAAAAAGAACCUGAAACCGUGUACGUACAAGCAGUGGGAGCCUCUUUAUGGGGUGACUGCGUACCUUUUGUAUAAUGGGUCAGCGACUUAUAUUCUGUAGCAAGGUUAACCGAAUAGGGGAGCCGAAGGGAAACCGAGUCUUAACUGGGCGUUAAGUUGCAGGGUAUAGACCCGAAACCCGGUGAUCUAGCCAUGGGCAGGUUGAAGGUUGGGUAACACUAACUGGAGGACCGAACCGACUAAUGUUGAAAAAUUAGCGGAUGACUUGUGGCUGGGGGUGAAAGGCCAAUCAAACCGGGAGAUAGCUGGUUCUCCCCGAAAGCUAUUUAGGUAGCGCCUCGUGAAUUCAUCUCCGGGGGUAGAGCACUGUUUCGGCAAGGGGGUCAUCCCGACUUACCAACCCGAUGCAAACUGCGAAUACCGGAGAAUGUUAUCACGGGAGACACACGGCGGGUGCUAACGUCCGUCGUGAAGAGGGAAACAACCCAGACCGCCAGCUAAGGUCCCAAAGUCAUGGUUAAGUGGGAAACGAUGUGGGAAGGCCCAGACAGCCAGGAUGUUGGCUUAGAAGCAGCCAUCAUUUAAAGAAAGCGUAAUAGCUCACUGGUCGAGUCGGCCUGCGCGGAAGAUGUAACGGGGCUAAACCAUGCACCGAAGCUGCGGCAGCGACACUAUGUGUUGUUGGGUAGGGGAGCGUUCUGUAAGCCUGUGAAGGUGGCCUGUGAGGGUUGCUGGAGGUAUCAGAAGUGCGAAUGCUGACAUAAGUAACGAUAAAGCGGGUGAAAAGCCCGCUCGCCGGAAGACCAAGGGUUCCUGUCCAACGUUAAUCGGGGCAGGGUGAGUCGACCCCUAAGGCGAGGCCGAAAGGCGUAGUCGAUGGGAAACAGGUUAAUAUUCCUGUACUUGGUGUUACUGCGAAGGGGGGACGGAGAAGGCUAUGUUGGCCGGGCGACGGUUGUCCCGGUUUAAGCGUGUAGGCUGGUUUUCCAGGCAAAUCCGGAAAACCAAGGCUGAGGCGUGAUGACGAGGCACUACGGUGCUGAAGCGACAAAUGCCCUGCUUCCAGGAAAAGCCUCUAAGCAUCAGGUAACAUCAAAUCGUACCCCAAACCGACACAGGUGGUCAGGUAGAGAAUACCAAGGCGCUUGAGAGAACUCGGGUGAAGGAACUAGGCAAAAUGGUGCCGUAACUUCGGGAGAAGGCACGCUGAUAUGUAGGUGAAGCGACUUGCUCGUGGAGCUGAAAUCAGUCGAAGAUACCAGCUGGCUGCAACUGUUUAUUAAAAACACAGCACUGUGCAAACACGAAAGUGGACGUAUACGGUGUGACGCCUGCCCGGUGCCGGAAGGUUAAUUGAUGGGGUUAGCGGUAACGCGAAGCUCUUGAUCGAAGCCCCGGUAAACGGCGGCCGUAACUAUAACGGUCCUAAGGUAGCGAAAUUCCUUGUCGGGUAAGUUCCGACCUGCACGAAUGGCGUAAUGAUGGCCAGGCUGUCUCCACCCGAGACUCAGUGAAAUUGAACUCGCUGUGAAGAUGCAGUGUACCCGCGGCAAGACGGAAAGACCCCGUGAACCUUUACUAUAGCUUGACACUGAACAUUGAGCCUUGAUGUGUAGGAUAGGUGGGAGGCUUUGAAGUGUGGACGCCAGUCUGCAUGGAGCCGACCUUGAAAUACCACCCUUUAAUGUUUGAUGUUCUAACGUUGGCCCGUAAUCCGGGUUGCGGACAGUGUCUGGUGGGUAGUUUGACUGGGGCGGUCUCCUCCUAAAGAGUAACGGAGGAGCACGAAGGUUGGCUAAUCCUGGUCGGACAUCAGGAGGUUAGUGCAAUGGCAUAAGCCAGCUUGACUGCGAGCGUGACGGCGCGAGCAGGUGCGAAAGCAGGUCAUAGUGAUCCGGUGGUUCUGAAUGGAAGGGCCAUCGCUCAACGGAUAAAAGGUACUCCGGGGAUAACAGGCUGAUACCGCCCAAGAGUUCAUAUCGACGGCGGUGUUUGGCACCUCGAUGUCGGCUCAUCACAUCCUGGGGCUGAAGUAGGUCCCAAGGGUAUGGCUGUUCGCCAUUUAAAGUGGUACGCGAGCUGGGUUUAGAACGUCGUGAGACAGUUCGGUCCCUAUCUGCCGUGGGCGCUGGAGAACUGAGGGGGGCUGCUCCUAGUACGAGAGGACCGGAGUGGACGCAUCACUGGUGUUCGGGUUGUCAUGCCAAUGGCACUGCCCGGUAGCUAAAUGCGGAAGAGAUAAGUGCUGAAAGCAUCUAAGCACGAAACUUGCCCCGAGAUGAGUUCUCCCUGACUCCUUGAGAGUCCUGAAGGAACGUUGAAGACGACGACGUUGAUAGGCCGGGUGUGUAAGCGCAGCGAUGCGUUGAGCUA